rnacentral:rRNA from 1 species
UACGUAGGGUGCAAGCGUUAUCCGGAAUUAUUGGGCGUAAAGAGCUCGUAGGCGGUUUGUCGCGUCUGCUGUGAAACCCGAGGCUCAACCUCGGGCCUGCAGUGGGUACGGGCAAACUAGAGUGCGGUAGGGGAGAUUGGAAUUCCUGGUGUAGCGGUGGAAUGCGCAGAUAUCAGGAGGAACACCGAUGGCGAAGGCAGAUCUCUGGGCCGUAACUGACGCUGAGGAGCGAAAGCAUGGGGAGCGAACAGG